rnacentral:miRNA from 1 species
CGGGACUUCGCGGGACAGACGG